rnacentral:misc_RNA from 1 species
ACAUUAUUUUACUAGAAAUCAUGUAAGACUAAUGUGGUUCUUUAUCAUCCUUCUGUUUAAUUAGAUGAAAAAGAAAGGAAUAGUUUGAUUGAGUAGGAAGAAACAGUAAAAGGUAGUACAAAGGUGGAAUUAUACUCUCUGAAAUAAUUUAUAAUUAUAUGAUAAGUUAUUACCAAAUUGUUGGAUACACGUACAUCAUUUUGUCUAAAACUCCCUUUUAGUUAAAUUUUCAAUGAUUUCCUAUGUGUUAACAUUUGUUUCGUGGUUAACAAUUUUUAGGAAUGGGUCUUCUUCCUAAGCUUA